rnacentral:tRNA from 1 species
UCCCAGGUGGCUCAGUGGUAAAGAACCUGCCUAUCAAGCAGGAGACACGGGUUCAAUCCCCAGGUUUGGAA